UCGAGCGGAGAAAUGGGAGCUUGCUCCCAUUUCUCAGCGGCGGACGGGUGAGUAACACGUGGGCAACCUGCCCUGCAGACUGGGAUAACUCCGGGAAACCGGAGCUAAUACCGGGUAAUACAUCGCAUCGCAUGAUGCAAUGUUGAAAGUUGGCUUUUGGCUAACACUGCAGGAUGGGCCCGCGGCGCAUUAGCUAGUUGGUAAGGUAACGGCUUACCAAGGCCACGAUGCGUAGCCGACCUGAGAGGGUGAUCGGCCACACUGGGACUGAGACACGGCCCAGACUCCUACGGGAGGCAGCAGUAGGGAAUCUUCCGCAAUGGACGAAAGUCUGACGGAACAACGCCGCGUGAGUGACGAAGGCCUUCGGGUCGUAAAGCUCUGUUGUUAGGGAAGAACAAGUACCGUUCGAAUAGGGCGGUACCUUGACGGUACCUAACCAGAAAGCCACGGCUAACUACGUGCCAGCAGCCGCGGUAAUACGUAGGUGGCAAGCGUUGUCCGGAAUUAUUGGGCGUAAAGCGCGCGCAGGCGGUCUCUUAAGUCUGAUGUGAAAGCCCACGGCUCAACCGUGGAGGGCCAUUGGAAACUGGGGGACUUGAGUGCAGAAGAGGAGAGUGGAAUUCCACGUGUAGCGGUGAAAUGCGUAGAUAUGUGGAGGAACACCAGUGGCGAAAGCGGCUCUCUGGUCUGUAACUGACGCUGAGGCGCGAAAGCGUGGGGAGCAAACAGGAUUAGAUACCCUGGUAGUCCACGCCGUAAACGAUGAGUGCUAGGUGUUGGGGGCUUCCACCCCUCAGUGCUGAAGUUAACACAUUAAGCACUCCGCCUGGGGAGUACGACCGCAAGGUGAAACUCAAAGGAAGAAUUGACGGGGGCCCGCACAAGCAGUGGAGCAUGUGGUUUAAUUCGAAGCAACGCGAAGAACCUUACCAGGUCUUGACAUCCUCUGCCACUCCUAGAGAUAGGACGUUCCCCUUCGGGGGACAGAGUGACAGGUGGUGCAUGGUUGUCGUCAGCUCGUGUCGUGAGAUGUUGGGUUAAGUCCCGCAACGAGCGCAACCCUUGAUCUUAGUUGCCAGCAUUCAGUUGGGCACUCUAAGGUGACUGCCGGUGACAAACCGGAGGAAGGUGGGGACGACGUCAAAUCAUCAUGCCCCUUAUGACCUGGGCUACACACGUGCUACAAUGGACGGUACAAAGGGCAGCAACACCGCGAGGUGAAGCGAAUCCCAUAAAGCCGUUCUCAGUUCGG
rnacentral:rRNA from 1 species